AUAAUAAUUUAAAUUUAAAGUUAAUUUAUUGAGAUUAUUUUAAGUAAAAAUAAUUAUUUAGUUUUAGUAUUAUUUAUAGAAAAAAUAUUUUUAAUUGAACUGUGAAGAUCAAACAAUAAAUAUAAAUAAGUAAAAUUAUAAUUUGUACCUUUUGUAUCAGGGUUAAUUAAUUGUAUAUAAAAAUUUAUUUUUCCCGAAUUAUAGUGAUUUAAAAUUAUUUGUUAAUUAUUGUAAUAUUAAUAUUAAUAAAAUAAUUUUAGUGAUGAAACUUCUCUCGAACUAUAAUAUUUCUGGUUUCUUAAGAAUUAAAUUUAAUUUAAAAUAAAUAUUAUAACUUAUAUUUCAAUAUAAAGUUUUAUAUUUAUUUAAUUAUAUUAAGGAUAAGCUAAAUAUAAUUUCUAUAAUAUUUUAGAUUUUAAUUAAUUAAAUAGGCUUGCAAUUAGCUUUUUUAUAUGAGUAAGUUAAAUUUUAUUUUUUAUUUUAAUACAUUUAAUAUAUUUUAGGUAUAUAUUAAGAAAAUUAAAUUAAUUAAAAUAUUUUUAUUAAAAUGAUUAAAUUAGUAAAUUAUAAUAAGUUGUAUUUAAGAACUAGGCAAAUAUAAUUUUCGCCUGUUUACCAAAAACAUGUCCUUUAGAAAAAUAUUAAAGGUCUAUUCUGCCCAAUGAUAUUUUAAUGGCCGCGGUAAGUUGACCGUGCAAAGGUAGCAUAAUAAUUAGUCUUUUAAUUAAAGGCUUGUAUGAAUGAAUGGAUGAAAAAUUUUCUUUUUUAAUUAAAAUAGAUUGAAUUUAGAGUUUAAGUAAAAAAUCUUAAAUAAAUAAGUGGGACGAGAAGACCCUAUAGAAUUUUAAAUAAAUUUGUUUUACUAGAAUUUAGAAUUAAUAACUGAAAAAAUUACUUUAUUUUUUGUUGGGGUGACAUUAUAAUAAAUAAAACUUUAAAUGAACUUUUCAUAAAUUAAUGCUUAAUUGAUCCAAUUUUUUGAUUAUAAGAUUAAAUUACCUUAGGGAUAACAGCGUUAUUAAUUUGGAGAGUUCAUAUCGAUAAAUUAGAUUGCGACCUCGAUGUUGGAUUAAGAAAAGAGUUUAGAGCAAUAUCUAAAUAUUCUAGGUCUGUUCGACCUUUAAUUUCUUACAUGAUCUGAGUUCAAAUCGGCGUGAGCCAGGUUGGUUUCUAUCUACUAAUAUAUUUUUGAUAUUAGUACGAAAGGACCAUAUCAAAUAAUUUAAUUUAU
rnacentral:rRNA from 2 species